UGGCAAGCAUGGAAGGUAACGUCACUGUUACAGAUAUAACGCAUCGUCGCACCGCAUUGCCCAUUGGGUUUAAUCUCAUCGUGGUUUGUAGACCUUUGAAGGAACAAGAACGUUGAAAAUUAAAUCCUAUAGGAUUUGAUCAGUCAUGAGUGCCCCAAACCAAUGGAUUUUGUAUAUUACAACCAAUCACACAGUUCAUCAGGCGUCCUUUUUGAUAGUGAGUUAAUUGCAGCAAGUGAUUUUUUUCUACAAAGACGUGCAAUCAGAGUGGAGCAUAUAAUGGACCCUCGCGGUGCCGUUUUACAAGAAAUGUUCAAUAUCUUCAGUUUAACCCGCCUGUCCUGCAGAAUCGUUAUCUGAAACGCUUUGGCGUUUUUCAUAAAUUAAAAACAAAAAAUGUAAACCUUUGAAUUUUAAAAGUUAGCAAUAAAGACUUUUUAUUGAG
rnacentral:misc_RNA from 1 species